UUUUAUGUUGCCGCAUCUGCUGUCUCUUUGUUCUCAAUCUAUAACCUGCCUUGUAUUUUGAGAAUCGCUUGAGUUUUUAAACAUGCAGUCAAAUAGCUGUGUUCAAGUGAGGAAGAAACACAAAUCCUCCCAGCCAUCCUUCCUGAGAGCCAUGAUGUCCCGUGUCAUCCGAGUGGUCAAAAGAGUCUUCACCUCCAGCAACAAUGUUUAAAGCUUUCCUUGGGACAAGUUCCAGGAUAUUUUGUUGGAUUCAUUAACUUUUUGUCUUGUUUAUUAUUUCCAUAUGGUUUCAGUUGUAUAAAUAAAUGUUUUUGUUGUUCAAA